AUCUGGUGUGGCAGAGCCCGGAAAAAUGCAAAAGACUUAAACCCUUCCAUCAGACGUUCAAGCCGUCUCACCAGUA
rnacentral:tRNA from 1 species